rnacentral:rRNA from 1 species
UACGAGGGGGGCGAGCGUUGUUCGGAAUUAUUGGGCGUAAAGGGUGCGUAGGCGGGCAGGUAAGUCCGUGGUGAAAUCUCUGAGCUUAACUCAGAAACUGCCAUGGAUACUAUUUGUCUUGAAUAUUGUGGAGGUAAGCGGAAUAUGUCAUGUAGCGGUGAAAUGCUUAGAUAUGACAUAGAACACCAAUUGCGAAGGCAGCUUACUACACAGUUAUUGACGCUGAGGCACGAAAGCGUGGGGAUCAAACAGG